rnacentral:rRNA from 1 species
GAUGAACGCUGGCGGCGUGCCUAAUACAUGCAAGUCGAGCGAACAGACGAGGAGCUUGCUCCUCUGACGUUAGCGGCGGACGGGUGAGUAACACGUGGAUAACCUACCUAUAAGACUGGGAUAACUUCGGGAAACCGGAGCUAAUACCGGAUAAUAUAUUGAACCGCAUGGUUCAAUAGUGAAAGACGGUUUUGCUGUCACUUAUAGAUGGAUCCGCGCCGCAUUAGCUAGUUGGUAAGGUAACGGCUUACCAAGGCAACGAUGCGUAGCCGACCUGAGAGGGGGAUCGGCCAAACGGGAACUGAGACACGUCCAGACUCCUACGGGAGGCAGCAGUAGGGAAUCUUCCGCAAUGGGCGAAAGCCUGACGGAGCAACGCCGCGUGAGUGAUGAAGGUCUUCGGAUCGUAAAACUCUGUUAUUAGGGAAGAACAAAUGUGUAAGUAACUAUGCACGUCUUGACGGUACCUAAUCAGAAAGCCACGGCUAACUACGUG